UCCGGUUUGUCACCGGCGGUCCCCUUAGAGUUCCCAACUGAAUGCUGGCAACUAGGGGCAAGGGUUGCGCUCGUUGCGGGACUUAACCCAACAUCUCACGACACGAGCUGGCGACAGCCAUGCAGCACCUGUGUCCAGGUUCCCUUUCGGGCACCGCUGCAUUUCUGCAGCGUUCCUGGCAUGUCAAGGGUAGGUAAGGUUUUUCGCGUUGCAUCGAAUUAAACCACAUCAUCCACCGCUUGUGCGGGCCCCCGUCAAUUCCUUUGAGUUUUAAUCUUGCGACCGUACUCCCCAGGCGGAUGACUUCGCGCGUUAGCUGCGUUAGCGCCGGCACCCAGAGGGUCGCUCCCCCAGGCACCUAGUACCCAUCGUUUACGGCGUGGACUAC
rnacentral:misc_RNA from 1 species